CAGGCUUAACACAUGCAAGUCGAGGGGCAGCAUGGUCUUAGCUUGCUAAGGCCGAUGGCGACCGGCGCACGGGUGAGUAACACGUAUCCAACCUGCCGUCUACUCUUGGACAGCCUUCUGAAAGGAAGAUUAAUACAAGAUGGCAUCAUGAGUCCGCAUGUUCACAUGAUUAAAGGUAUUCCGGUAGACGAUGGGGAUGCGUUCCAUUAGAUAGUAGGCGGGGUAACGGCCCACCUAGUCUUCGAUGGAUAGGGGUUCUGAGAGGAAGGUCCCCCACAUUGGAACUGAGACACGGUCCAAACUCCUACGGGAGGCAGCAGUGAGGAAUAUUGGUCAAUGGGCGAGAGCCUGAACCAGCCAAGUAGCGUGAAGGAUGACUGCCCUAUGGGUUGUAAACUUCUUUUAUAAAGGAAUAAAGUCGGGUAUGCAUACCCGUUUGCAUGUACUUUAUGAAUAAGGAUCGGCUAACUCCGUGCCAGCAGCCGCGGUAAUACGGAGGAUCCGAGCGUUAUCCGGAUUUAUUGGGUUUAAAGGGAGCGUAGAUGGAUGUUUAAGUCAGUUGUGAAAGUUUGCGGCUCAACCGUAAAAUUGCAGUUGAUACUGGAUAUCUUGAGUGCAGUUGAGGCAGGCGGAAUUCGUGGUGUAGCGGUGAAAUGCUUAGAUAUCACGAAGAACUCCGAUUGCGAAGGCAGCCUGCUAAGCUGCAACUGACAUUGAGGCUCGAAAGUGUGGGUAUCAAACAGGAUUAGAUACCCUGGUAGUCCACACGGUAAACGAUGAAUACUCGCUGUUUGCGAUAUACGGCAAGGGGCCAAGCGAAAGCGUUAAGUAUUCCACCUGGGGAGUACGCCGGCAACGGUGAAACUCAAAGGAAUUGACGGGGGCCCGCACAAGCGGAGGAACAUGUGGUUUAAUUCGAUGAUACGCGAGGAACCUUACCCGGGCUUAAAUUGCAGAUGAAUUACGGUGAAAGCCGUAAGCCGCAAGGCAUCUGUGAAGGUGCUGCAUGGUUGUCGUCAGCUCGUGCCGUGAGGUGUCGGCUUAAGUGCCAUAACGAGCGCAACCCUUGUUGUCAGUUACUAACAGGUUCCGCUGAGGACUCUGACAAGACUGCCAUCGUAAGAUGUGAGGAAGGUGGGGAUGACGUCAAAUCAGCACGGCCCUUACGUCCGGGACUACACACGUGUUACAAUGGGGGGUACAGAGGGCCGCUACCACGCGAGUGGAUGCCAAUCCCCAAAACCUCUCUCAGUUCGGACUGGAGUCUGCAACCCGACUCCACGAAGCUGGAUUCGCUAGUAAUCGCGCAUCAGCCACGGCGCGGUGAAUACGUCCCCGGGCCUUGUACACACCGCCCGUCAAGCCAUGGGAGCCGGGGGUACCUGAAGUGCGUAACCGCGAGGAGCGCCCUAGGGUAAAACUGGUGACUGGGGC
rnacentral:rRNA from 1 species